rnacentral:rRNA from 1 species
UACGGAGGGUGCGAGCGUUGUCCGGAAUCACUGGGCGUAAAGGGCGCGUAGGCGGCGCGGGAAGUCAUCGGUGAAAGUUCAGGGCUCAACUCUGAAUCGGCCGGUGAUACUCUCGUGCUCGAGCACUGUAGAGGCAGGUGGAAUUCCGGGUGUAGCGGUGGAAUGCGUAGAGAUCCGGAAGAACACCGGUGGCGAAGGCGGCAUCCUGGACCAACACUGACACUGAGGAGCGAAAGCCAGGGGAGCAAACGGG